GAUGAACGCUGGCGGCGUGCCUAAUACAUGCAAGUCGUACGGAAAGGCCCUUCGGGGUACUCGCGUGGCGGACGGCUGAGUAACGCGCGGGCACGUGCCCCAAAGUGAGGGAUAACGCACCGAACGGUGUGCUAAUACCGCAUAUGGUCUUAGGAUUAAAGCUUCGGCGCUUUGGGAGCGGCCCGCGUACGAUUAGAUAGUUGGUGAGGUAAUGGCUCACCAAGUCGACGAUCGUUAGCUGGUCUGAGAGGAUGAUCAGCCAGACUGGGACUGAGACACGGCCCAGACUCCUACGGGAGGCAGCAGUAAGGAAUCUUCCACAAUGGGGGCAACCCUGAUGGAGCAACGCCGCGUGCAGGAUGAAGGUUUUCGGAUCGUAAACUGCUUUUAUAAGUGAAGAAUAUGACGGUAACUUAUGAAUAAGGAUCGGCUAACUACGUGCCAGCCGCCGCGGUAA
rnacentral:rRNA from 1 species